rnacentral:rRNA from 1 species
UACGAAGGGGGCUAGCGUUGCUCGGAAUCACUGGGCGUAAAGGGUGCGUAGGCGGGUUCUUAAGUCAGAGGUGAAAUCCUGGAGCUCAACUCCAGAACUGCCUUUGAUACUGAGAGUCUUGAGUACGGGAGAGGUGAGUGGAACUGCGAGUGUAGAGGUGAAAUUCGUAGAUAUUCGCAAGAACACCAGUGGCGAAGGCGGCUCACUGGCCCGUUACUGACGCUGAGGCACGAAAGCUAGGGGAGCAAACAGG